rnacentral:rRNA from 1 species
UACGAGAGGCCCAAACGUUAUUCGGAAUUACUGGGCUUAAAGAGCUCGUAGGCGGCUUGGCAAGUCGGGUGUGAAACCUCCAGGCUCAACCUGGAGACGCCACCCGAUACUGCCAUGGCUAGAGUCCGGUAGGGGACCACGGAAUUCCUGGUGUAGCGGUGAAAUGCGCAGAUAUCAGGAGGAACACCGAUGGCGAAGGCAGGUCUCUGGGCAUUAACUGACGCUGAGGAGCGAAAGCAUGGGGAGCGAACAGG